GGGGCUUUUGGUGUGUGAUGCGUGUCUGGUGCGUGUGGCUCUGCCUCACCCUCACUGUGCUAACGGGACCGAUGUGCGGCUCGGUUCAGCCCUUUAAAUGAAUCAGUUGUUGGGGAGUGAUGCGCUAAUUCGUCCUCACCCCGCGUGGUGUGCAGGAGGUUGGUGUCACCGGUGAUAACCGUGCCUGCCGCCCCCCGGGCUGGGCGAGGCGAGGGGCCGGGUGCUGUCCUGUUUCCCCAAGUUGCUGUUCCCGGCUUGUUGGGCCGUUACCAUGGAGAAUCAGCAGCCAGGGGAAGGGGGGGGGGGGGGGGGGCCCCUCGGCAGUGCCGGCUGCGGUCACCCCGGGCUCCCUCUCCGCGAUCGCCGGGUCCCGGAGCGGGGCCGGGGGCUGUCGGGGAGCGGUCCCGGCGGGGCAGGGCCCGGGGGCGGCCGCAGCCCGGUGUGUGCACGCCCUCCAGAGCACGGGGAAGGGCGCAGCAGCGCCUUUGUCCUCGGCCGGCCGAGCCCAGACAAAAGGCUCCCUCCUGCUCCGCGUGGCAGCGGGCAGGGCUGCCCCGGGCUGCUCGCCUGGGAAAUGAGGGGACUGCGAAGGGAACCCCCCCGGCAUCGCCCCCCGUGUGCUGUGGGGCGCUGGGUGCUGCUGGUCCCCCCCCCACGUCUCGGCUGUGUCCCCACAGGCAGGGCUGGCGGUCCCACUGCGGGCUCUGGGAGGUCCCCGGGCAGGGGGCUGUUAUUGCCGCCCCCCCCGCUCCCCGUUAGGUGGCAGCUGAGGCCCCCCUCGUGGCUCCAGGCUCCGUGCGUGCUCGCUGUGCUCCUGGGCAGGACACAAAAAGGCUUUCUCCAGCGCAGGACACCGCAGUGGCUGCUUUCCUUUAUCCUUGAAAUUCACGCAGCAGGACCGCCGAGGCGCUCGGACUUGCAGCUCCCAUGGAUGCCUUUUGGCCCACCCAGAGCAUGGUGCGGGAUGUGCGGGAGGAUGGAGGAGGUCGGGAGCACCGGGAGAUGCUCGGGCUGGGGCUGCUGCAGCAGCAGAGCCCCCUCUAACCUGGGGGAGCCGUGUUUUUGGACACAGGCACUGACAAAGGACCAGGAAACACAUAUGGUAUACAGCCAAAGCUGCACCACCAUGUCUGAGGUCUUCGGCUGGCCUGGUGGUGGUGGAAGAGAACUGGUGGCUGGUGGAGAGGUAACGCCAGCCUCCUUGCCUGUGCUUUGCCUACAACUCCAGGAUGAAGAUAUAAAGGAUUAUUUUGAAAAACGCAUUAAAACCACAGUCACUGGGCAUUGGGCCUGUGAUCUUAUGCUGGGGUUUGAGGAGAGCUUACACCUGGAGGUGAGAUGCACAGGUACUAAAUAUUGCAGCUUGUAUUUGGACUGGACAGCACCACGAGCUAUUCCUGAUAAAUUGUAUUUCCUGUGUGUACGUGGGGUGGUUUCUACUUUGUUGGUGCUAUUCUGCUCCUGA
rnacentral:lncRNA from 1 species